rnacentral:rRNA from 1 species
GGAGAACGGAGUGAGUAAUGUUUCGGAACGUGCCUAGUAGCGGGGGAUAACUACGCGAAAGCGUAGCUAAUACCGCAUACGCCCUACGGGGGAAAGCAGGGGAUCGCAAGACCUUGCAAUAUUAGAGCGGCCGAUAUCGGAUUAGCUAGUUGGUGGGGUAUCGGCUCACCAGGCGACGAUCCGUUAGCUGGUUUGAGAGGACGACCAGCCACACUGGGACUGAGACAAGGCCCAGACUCCUACGGGAGGCAGCAGUGGGGAUUUUGGACAAUGGGGGAAACCCUGAUCCAGCCAUCCCGCGUGUGCGAUGAAGGCCUUCGGGUUGUAAAGCACUUUUGGCAGGAAAGAAACGUCGCGGGUUAAUACCCCGCGGAACUGACGGUACCUGCAGAAUAAGCACCGACUAACUACGUGCCAGCAGCCGCGGUAAUACGUAGGGUGCAAGCUUAGAUCGGAAUUACUGGGCGUAAAGCGUGCGCAGGCGGUUCCGGAAAGAAAGAUGUGAAAUCCCAGAGCUUAACUUUGGAACUGCAUUUUUAACUACCGAGCAUGAGUGUGACAGAGGGAGGUGGAAUUCCGCGUGUAGCAGUGAAAUGCGUAGAUAUGCGGAG